CUGUUGGUGCCGGAGGGGUUCGCCCCUUGGCUAUGGCGAUAAACGGCGCGUGGAAUAAGUGUUGUGGACCCGGGGGCGGUACCCGGCGUUUCCACCAGUUUUUUCGUGAUCGGCGGCCCAUCGGGCCUUCGCAUCCGAAAGAUGGGAACGAAACAGGCUCGACACGCAUGGUAAAGACCCGCCUUUUGCCCGGCAUUGUACCGCCGUUAUCGGGCUAAACAUACAAGUGCCAAUGAUAACACUGAGGUGCUCGCUGUCGCUGCAUAAGCGAUAAGCGCGGUUCGGGGGGGCACCGGGCAACAGAAGCCCCCUCACUUUGCCGCUGUUCAUUAUACCCCUGCUUAACUUUAUCCCUGUC
rnacentral:tmRNA from 1 species